CCAGGUGGGAGGCCGGCCUGUCGGUCCAGCUGCCGGCUGCAGCCAGCCCCCAGCAGGCCGGCAGAUAAGGACAUCGGCCUCACGUCAUAAAUAAAGCCGGGGACCCGCUGACAGGCCCUGGCACGGCCGCGGCCCCCGCCGCCCCUGCUAGCCUCCCCGGCCUCCCUGGCCUCCCCUGCGGUUGCAGCGGCCUGCUGGCAACUGUGCAAGAAUCGCAGGUGCCGGGCACGAGCAGGGGCCAAGGCUCAGGCCCCUCCCGGCUGAGCUUGCUCCCGCCCACCCCCAAACCUGGAGGGGCCCGGGAUAGGGGCUGCGGAGCUGGCUGGAGCCUGACUCUACCCCUCCCUAGCUCUGGGACCCUCUCUGGGCCUCAGUUUCCCUAUCAUCUCACGAGCCAGGGUGAGCUUGGGCUUUCUGUGAACUGAGUUCAGACCCAUGUGACCUCCUGAAGCCUCCGUGUCCUCACCUGAGAAAAAGCUGUCUCCCUUGCAGAGAAACCCUGGGGUGUCGGGGACCCGACAAUGAGUAACUCCACGCCUGCUGCCUGCAGGCACUUGGGUGCCACCCACCAUGUGGGCACUUGCCACAAAUUAUGUCAUCCAAGCCUCACAACAGCCCAAGGCAAACUAGAGGUCUGUGGACCCAGAGAAAACCCAAGACAGCAAGAGGAGGCAGACUCAGGCACCUAAUCAUUCCCAUCCCCCUGCUUUGAUCAGAAGGGGAAACUGAGGCCCAUCAAAAGCAAAAGAAAUAGAUCGAAGGCCACAUUCAGCCUUGGGGGGUUGGGGAGUCACCAGUUUGAGACCUCUACUCUCUUGGAGACAACCAGGAAACCCGUUGAGCGCUAUGGCUCACACCUGCAAUUCCAGCACUUUGGGAGGCCGAAAGGGGCAGAUAACCUGAGGUCAGGAGUUCAAGACCAGCCCGGCCAACAUGGUGAAACCCUGUCUGUACUAAAAAAUACAAAAAUUAGCUGUGCAUGGUGGUGCGUGCCUGUAGUCCCAGCUACUCAGGAGACUGAGGGAGGAGAAUCGCUUGAACCCGAGAGGUGGAGGUUGCCGAGAUCACACCAUUGCACUCCAGCCUGGGCCAAAGUAAGACUCUGUCUCAACAAGAACAAACACGGCCAGGCACAGUGGCUCACGUCUAUAAUCCCAGCACUUUGGGAGGCAGAGGUGGGUGGUUCACCUGAGGUCGGCAGCUGGAGACCAGCCUAGCCAACAUGGUGAAACCCCAUCACUAAGAAGAAAUACAAAAAUUAGGCUGGGUGCGGUGCUCACACCUGUAAUCUCAGCACUUUGGGAGGCCGAGGUGGAUGGAUCAUGAGGUCAAGAGAUUGAGACCAUCCUGGUCAACUUGGUGAAACCCCGUCUCUACUAAAAAUACAAAAAAUUAGCUGGGCAUGAUGGCGCGUGCCUGUAAUCCCAGCUACUCAGGAGGCUGAGGUAGGAGAAUCGCCUGAACUCAGGAGGCGGAGGUUGCGGUGAGCCGAGAUUGCGCCAUUGCACUCCAGCCUGGGUAACAAGAGCAAAAUUCCAUCUCGAGAGAAAAAAAAAAAAAAAGAAACAAAAAUUAGCUAUACAUGGUGGCGCGUGCCUGUAGUCC